AUUGAACGCUGGCGGCAUGCCUUACACAUGCAAGUCGAACGGUAACAGGUCUUCGGAUGCUGACGAGUGGCGAACGGGUGAGUAAUACAUCGGAACGUGCCCGAUCGUGGGGGAUAAUGAAGCGAAAGCUUUGCUAAUACCGCAUACGAUCUCAGGAUGAAAGCGGGGGCUCUUCGGACCUCGCGCGGCCGGGGCGGCCGAUGGCAGAUUAGGUAGUUGGUGGGAUAAAAGCGUACCAAGGCGACCAUCUGUAGCUGGUCUGAGAGGAUGAUCAGCCACACUGGGAUUGAGACACGGCCCAGACUCCUACGGGAGGCAGCAGUGGGGAAUUUUGGACAAUGGGCGCAAGCCUGAUCCAGCCAUGCCGCGUGCAGGAUGAAGGCCUUCGGGUUGUAAACUGCUUUUGUACGGAACGAAAAGGUGCCUUCUAAUAAAGGGCGGUCAUGACGGUACCGUAAGAAUAGGCACCGGCUAACUACGUG
rnacentral:rRNA from 1 species